UACGGAGGGGGCUAGCGUUGUUCGGAAUUACUGGGCGUAAAGCGCGCGUAGGCGGACCUGCAAGUCGGGGGUGAAAGCCCGAGGCUCAACCUCGGAACUGCCUUCGAUACUGCGGGUCUCGAGUCUGGGAGAGGUGAGUGGAAUUCCUAGUGUAGAGGUGAAAUUCGUAGAUAUUCGCAAGAACACCAGUGGCGAAGGCGGCUCACUGGCCCGAUACUGACGCUGAGGCACGAAAGCGUGGGGAGCAAACAGGG
rnacentral:rRNA from 1 species